GGUUGAAGGUUGGGUAACACUAACUGGAGGACCGAACCGACUAAUGUUGAAAAAUUAGCGGAUGACUUGUGGCUGGGGGUGAAAGGCCAAUCAAACCGGGAGAUAGCUGGUUCUCCCCGAAAGCUAUUUAGGUAGCGCCUCGUGAAUUCAUCUCCGGGGGUAGAGCACUGUUUCGGCAAGGGGGUCAUCCCGACUUACCAACCCGAUGCAAACUGCGAAUACCGGAGAAUGUUAUCACGGGAGACACACGGCGGGUGCUAACGUCCGUCGUGAAGAGGGAAACAACCCAGACCGCCAGCUAAGGUCCCAAAGUCAUGGUUAAGUGGGAAACGAUGUGGGAAGGCCCAGACAGCCAGGAUGUUGGCUUAGAAGCAGCCAUCAUUUAAAGAAAGCGUAAUAGCUCACUGGUCGAGUCGGCCUGCGCGGAAGAUGUAACGGGGCUAAACCAUGCACCGAAGCUGCGGCAGCGACACUAUGUGUUGUUGGGUAGGGGAGCGU
rnacentral:rRNA from 1 species